rnacentral:rRNA from 1 species
AGCCAUGCCGCGUGAGUGAAGAAGGCCUUGGGUUGUAAAGCUCUUUCGGUGGGGAAGGAAAAUUGCAUGGGCUAAUACCCUGUGUAGAUGACGGUACCUGGAGAAGAAGCACCGGCUAACUACGUGCCAGCAGCCGCGGUAAUACGUAGGGUGCGAGCGUUAAUCGGAAUUACUGGGCGUAAAGCGUGCGCAGGCGGUUUGGUAAGUCAGAUGUGAAAUCCCCGGGCUCAACCUGGGAACUGCAUUUGAGACUGCCAAGCUGGAGUUUGGCAGAGGGGGGUGGAAUUCCACGUGUAGCAGUGAAAUGCGUAGAGAUGUGGAGGAACACCGAUGGCGAAGGCAGCCCCCUGGGCCAAUACUGACGCUCAUGCACGAAAGCGUGGGGAGCAAAACAGGAUUAGAUACCCUGGUAGUCCACGCCCUAAAACGAUGUCAACUAGGUGUUGGGAGGGUUAAACCUUUUAGUGCCGUAGCUAACGCGUGAAGUUGACCGCUGGGGAGUACGGCCGCAAGGCUAAAAACUC